UACGAAGGGGGCUAGCGUUGCUCGGAAUUACUGGGCGUAAAGGGAGCGUAGGCGGAUAGUUUAGUCAGAGGUGAAAGCCCAGGGCUCAACCUUGGAAUUGCCUUUGAUACUGGCUAUCUUGAGUACGGAAGAGGUGUGUGGAACUCCGAGUGUAGAGGUGAAAUUCGUAGAUAUUCGGAAGAACACCAGUGGCGAAGGCGACAUACGUGGUCCGUUACUGAC
rnacentral:rRNA from 1 species